rnacentral:rRNA from 1 species
CUUAGAGUUUGAUCCUGGCUCAGGAUGAACGCUAGCUACAGGCUUAACACAUGCAAGUCGAGGGGAAACGACAUCGAAAGCUUGCUUUUGAUGGGCGUCGACCGGCGCACGGGUGAGUAACGCGUAUCCAACCUGCCCACCACUUGGGGAUAACCUUGCGAAAGUAAGACUAAUACCCAAUGACGUCUCUAGAGGACAUCUGAAAGAGAUUAAAGAUUUAUCGGUGAUGGAUGGGGAUGCGUCUGAUUAGCUUGUUGGCGGGGUAACGGCCCACCAAGGCUACGAUCAGUAGGGGUUCUGAGAGGAAGGUCCCCCACAUUGGAACUGAGACACGGUCCAAACUCCUACGGGAGGCAGCAGUGAGGAAUAUUGGUCAAUGGACGAGAGUCUGAACCAGCCAAGUAGCGUGCAGGAUGACGGCCCUAUGGGUUGUAAACUGCUUUUAUAAGGGAAUAAAGUGAGUCUCGUGAGACUUUUUGCAUGUACCUUAUGAAUAAGGACCGGCUAAUUCCGUGCCAGCAGCCGCGGUAAUACGGAAGGUCCGGGCGUUAUCCGGAUUUAUUGGGUUUAAAGGGAGCGUAGGCCGGAGAUUAAGCGUGUUGUGAAAUGUAGAUGCUCAACAUCUGCACUGCAGCGCGAACUGGUUUCCUUGAGUACGCACAAAGUGGGCGGAAUUCGUGGUGUAGCGGUGAAAUGCUUAGAUAUCACGAAGAACUCCGAUUGCGAAGGCAGCUCACUGGAGCGCAACUGACGCUGAAGCUCGAAAGUGCGGGUAUCGAACAGGAUUAGAUACCCUGGUAGUCCGCACGGUAAACGAUGGAUGCCCGCUGUUGGUCUGAAUAGGUCAGCGGCCAAGCGAAAGCAUUAAGCAUCCCACCUGGGGAGUACGCCGGCAACGGUGAAACUCA